rnacentral:rRNA from 1 species
GAUCAUGGCUCAGGAUGAACGCUGGCGGCGUGCUUAACACAUGCAAGUCGAACGGGAAACAUUUUAUUGAAGCUUCGGCAGAUUUAGCUUGUUUCUAGUGGCGGACGGGUGAGUAACGCGUGGGAAACCUGCCUUAUACUGGGGGAUAACAGCCAGAAAUGACUGCUAAUACCGCAUAAGCGCACAGAACCGCAUGGUUCGGUGUGAAAAACUCCGGUGGUAUAAGAUGGACCCGCGUUGGAUUAG